rnacentral:rRNA from 1 species
AGAACGAACGCUGGCGGCAGGCUUAACACAUGCAAGUCGAACGCCCCGCAAGGGGAGUGGCAGACGGGUGAGUAACGCGUGGGAAUCUACCUAGUUCUACGGAACAACAGUUGGAAACGACUGCUAAUACCGUAUACGCCCUAAGGGGGAAAGAUUUAUCGGAAUUAGAUGAGCCCGCGUAAGAUUAGCUAGUUGGUGGGGUAAUGGCCUACCAAGGCGACGAUCUUUAGCUGGUCUGAGAGGAUGAUCAGCCACACUGGGACUGAGACACGGCCCAGACUCCUACGGGAGGCAGCAGUGGGGAAUAUUGGACAAUGGGCGCAAGCCUGAUCCAGCCAUGCCGCGUGAGUGAUGAAGGCCUUAGGGUUGUAAAGCUCUUUCAGUAGGGAAGAUAAUGACGGUACCUACAGAAGAAGCCCCGGCUAACUUCGCGCCAGCAGCCGC